GUAAGAGCAGAAUAAAUAUGGAUAUGUAAUAUGAACAAUGUUGAACAACAUGUUGUUGUGUAAGUGCUUUGGGUUUCACUCUGUUCUAAAAGCGCUAUAUAAAUGAAUACUUUACUUUAUGAUUGCCCUUCAUUUCACUGGAAUAUUUUCAUGCCUUUAUGCAGCAUUUGCCCAAUGUUGUCCUUGUUAUGUGUUUUCAUUGUGACACUGAAAACUGAAUACUGUUACCACACACAAGUAUUUCAUGAUAUUUUAAAUGCACAGAUACAGAUUUUUUACCAUUACUUUUCAUCCAUUGUAGUUAUGAAGUUGUGUGUUGAAUCACAACCACAAAAUGACAGUUCACAUAGCACAAAUGUUUCAAUGCUCAAAUGGUUGAAGGAUCUGCGCCAGCUGUACCAACAUACACACACACACACACACACACACACACACACACACACAUACAAAUAC